rnacentral:rRNA from 1 species
AUGGCUCAGGAUGAACGCUAGCUACAGGCUUAACACAUGCAAGGUCGAGGGGCAGCAUUGGAGUAGCAAUACUCAGAUGGCGACCGGCGCACGGGUGAGUAACACGUAUCCAACCUGCCGCUUACUCGGGGAUAGCCUUUCGAAAGAAAGAUUAAUACCCGAUGGUAUAAAGAGUUCGCAUGUUCUCUUUAUUAAAGAAUUUCGGUAAGCGAUGGGGAUGCGUUCCAUUAGAUUGUUGGCGGGGUAACGGCCCACCAAGUCUACGAUGGAUAGGGGUUCUGAGAGGAAGGUCCCCCACAUUGGAACUGAGACACGGUCCAAACUCCUACGGGAGGCAGCAGUGAGGAAUAUUGGUCAAUGGACGAGAGUCUGAACCAGCCAAAGUAGCGUGAAGGAUGACUGCCCUAUGGGUUGUAAACUUCUUUUAUAAGGGAAUAAAGUGAGGGACGUGUCCCUUUUUGUAUGUACCUUAUGAAUAAGGAUCGGCUAACUCCGUGCCAGCCGCCGC